UACGUAGGGAACAAGCGUUGUCCGGAUUUACUGGGCGUAAAGGGCACGCAGGCGGUUUUUUAAGUCAGAUGUGAAAGGUACCGGCUCAACCGGUGACAUGCAUUUGAAACUGAAAGACUUGAGUAUUGGAGAGGCAAGUGGAAUUCCUAGUGUAGCGGUGAAAUGCGUAGAGAUUAGGAGGAACACCAGUGGCGAAGGCGGCUUGCUGGACAAAUACUGACGCUGAGGUGCGAAAGCGUGGGGAGCAAACAGGAUUAGAUACCCCCGUAGUCU
rnacentral:rRNA from 1 species